AGAUCCAAAUAUGUCUCCUGUGAGGCAUUCCGAGUGGACCCUCACAAGAAUAUCUUGCCCAUCUCCAAUCUCACCCUGUUUACACCAUGGAAAAGAAUCAUGCCAUAAUCUUCAGGGAAGGAUCUUAAUCCAAGAAACAUAAAGUCUAAAGGAAUAUACAGAAUGGUGCAACCUUUGAUAUUUAUGGAAAAAGAAUAGAAGUGUGCUCAUAACAAAUUGAAAUAUUUCUGACUUGAUGCAGAAUAGGAAAAGUAUUUAUAUAGGAUUUAUAUAGAUAUUAAGGUAAAUCAGGUAUAUAGGAAAGUAAAACUAACUAUAAGUAUGUGGGUACAUUCUUACCUUUACCAUUGCUAUAUGCUCAAUCCCAUCUAAUAUUGACCUGUAACAAUAGGCCGUGAAUGGCCCCCACAUAGUAGGUAUCCGUGCAGCACCAGCACGAUCAAUUAAUUUAUCUCUCUUUCUCCUAUACCUGUAAAUCAUAAGCAGUAUUAGAAGUUGUUCUUUACUUUAUCAUUCUCAAGGAGACUCCAUAUACAAUUGAUAAUAGUUUUGUCAAGAAUUAAGUUUGGGCAACCUAACCAUAGAAUCCAUGAAAAAUAAGUAGAAAGCAAAGCUCUGCAUAUAAUACUCAUUAAUUUACCUGAUUAAAUCAGCAAUGGAUAUAAUUUUCAAGUUCUCCCGCUCAGCAAAUUGAUGAAGCUUUGGUAAUCUAGCCAUGGAUCCAUCAUCAUCUACAACCUCACAGAGAACUGCAAUAGGGUCCAAUCCAGCUAGCAUUGCAAGAUCAACAGAAGCUUCAGUAUGCCCAGCUCUUUUCAGAACACCACCUUCCCUGUAUUUCAGUGGGAAAAUAUGACCUGGGCGGUUGAAAUCCUC
rnacentral:lncRNA from 1 species